GUGAGGAAUAUUGGACAAUGGGCGGAAGCCUGAUCCAGCCAUGCCGCGUGUGUGAAGAAGGCCUUUUGGUUGUAAAGCACUUUAAGCGAGGAGGAGGCUCCUUUAGUUAAUACCUAAAGUGAGUGGACGUUACUCGCAGAAUAAGCACCGGCUAACUCUGUGCCAGCAGCCGCGGUAAUACAGAGGGUGCGAGCGUUAAUCGGAUUUACUGGGCGUAAAGCGUGCGUAGGCGGCUUUUUAAGUCGGAUGUGAAAUCCCUGAGCUUAACUUAAGGAUUGCAUUCGAUACUGGAAAGCUAGAGGAUGGGAGAGGAUGGUAGAAUUCCAGGUGUAACGGUGAAAUGCGUAGAGAUCUGGAGGAAUACCGAUGGCGAAGGCAGCCAUCUGGCCUAAUACUGACGCUGAGGUACGAAAGCAUGGGGAGCAAACAGGAUUAGAUACCCUGGUAGUCC
rnacentral:rRNA from 1 species